AUUGAACGCUAGCGGGAUGCCUUACACAUGCAAGUCGAACGGCAGCACAGGGAGCUUGCUCCCGGGUGGCGAGUGGCGCACGGGUGAGUAAUACAUCGGAACGUGUCCUGUUGUGGGGGAUAACUGCUCGAAAGGGUGGCUAAUACCGCAUGAGACCUGAGGGUGAAAGCGGGGAUCGCAAGACCUCGCGCAAUUGGAGCGGCCGAUGCCCGAUUAGCUAGUUGGUGAGGUAAAGGCUCACCAAGGCGACGAUCGGUAGCUGGUCUGAGAGGACGACCAGCCACACUGGGACUGAGACACGGCCCAG
rnacentral:rRNA from 1 species